AAGUCGUAACAAGGUUUCCGUAGGUGAACCUGCGGAAGGAUCAUUAACACGUAUCCAACGUUAAACAACCCUGUGAACUUUAAGUCCCCUCUUGCAGCCCAUGAGGAACAGCAAUCCCGGUAAAUCAUUGCCAAACAGUUUUGAUUCGGGACCUCUGUCCAAAAGGAGUUGCAAUCGAAGGGUGGAAGCAGUGGCAUGGCUUCCCCAAGCAGUUAGUGAAUGACAGUGUCACUGACUGUGUAAGGAUAACGCCUCACGGUUGCUAGAGGUCGAUCACCGACCGGCAGAUCCACUUGAAAAUGCCCCGCCUAGUGGUAACGCGCUAGGUAAAAAAAACCGAACAACUGUUAACAAUGGAUAUCUUGGUUCUC
rnacentral:misc_RNA from 1 species